GUAGCAAAUAUUCAAAUGAGAAAUUUGAAGACUGAAGUGGGGAAAUGUUCCAUGUGAACAACACUUGGACAUGGAUUAGUCGAUCCUAAGAGAUGGGGUACCCCUGUAUCAAGGGUGCACUCUGUACGAACAUCAAAAGGGAAUCGGGUUAAUAUUCUCGAAUCGGGACAUGGUGAUGGACGACAACAUUAGGAAAUAUGGAGACGUCAUCGGGGGCCCUGGGAAGAGUUAUUUUUUCUUUUUAAUGGAUUUCCUACCCUGAACUUGAUUCAACCGUAGAUAGGGUCCAAUAGCUGGAAGAGCACCUCAUGUCUUGCAAUGUCCAGUGCCCCCUCGACAACCAUUGAAAAAUUGGAGGACAGAGUACCGUCCAUGCCUAGUCGUACUCAUAACUGCAUCAGGUCUUCAAGGUGAACAACCUCUGGUCAUUAGAACAAUAUAGGUAAUGGAAGUCAUCAAAACAGAUACGUAACUUCAUGAAAAGUAUUGGCUCUGAGGGCUAGGCCUAGGGGUAUGUGUAUUCAACUCAUGGGAAGUCAAAAGUAUUCCCAAGAUUCUCUCACAAUGAGGACAAGAUGUCACUAACCAAUUGGGAUACAAACAUAGAAUGUCCCCUCAUGGGGGAUUUUUCGUAGGCGAUGAAAAUUUGACUCAGAACUAGUACGAAGAAGGGGAAUCUGACAGUUUAAUUAAAAUAAAGCAUUGUGAUGGUCCUUGCAGAUGCUGAUGCAAUCUGAUUUCUACCCAGUGCUCUGUAUUUCAAAGUGAAUAAAUUCAACCAAGUGCAGGUAAACGACGGGAGUAACUAUGACUCUAUUAAGGUAUCCAAAUUUCUCUUCAUCUAAUUACUGACAUGCAUGAAUGGAUUAACGAGAUUCAAAAUGUCCCUAUAUACUAUCUAGCGAAACCACAACCAAGGGAAUAGGCUUGGAAGA
rnacentral:ncRNA from 1 species